UAGAGUUUGAUCCUGGCUCAGGAUGAACGCUAGCGACAGGCUUAACACAUGCAAGUCGAGGGGCAGCGGGGGCGAAGCUUGCUUCGCCUGCCGGCGACCGGCGCACGGGUGAGUAACACGUAUGCGACCUGCCCCCCGCAGGGGGAUAACCGGGAGAAAUCCCGACUAAUACCGCGUAACGCCGCUGGGCUGCAUGGCCCCGCGGCCAAAGGAAGCGAUUCCGGCGGGGGAUGGGCAUGCGGCGCAUUAGCUAGGCGGCGGGGUAACGGCCCACCGAGGCGACGAUGCGUAGGGGUUCUGAGAGGAAGGUCCCCCACACUGGUAUGAGGACACGGACCAGACUUCAUACGGGAGGCAGCAGUAAGGAAUAUUUGGUUCAAUGGGGCGGGAGCCUGAACCAGCCAAGUCGCGUGAGGGAAGACGGUCCUACGGAUUGUGAACGUCAUAAAAAAAAAGAGCAACGGGGUCCUUGCGAGGGCCCGAUGAGAGUACCCGGAGAAAAAGCAUCGGCUAACUCCGUGCCAGCAGCCGCGGUAAUACGGAGGAUGCGAGCGUUAUCCGGAUUUAUUGGGUUUAAAGGGUGCGUAGGCGGGCUGUUAAGUCAGCGGUCAAAUGUCGGGGCUCAACCCCGGCCUGCCGUUGAAACUGGCGGCCUCGAGUGGGCGAGAAGUAUGCGGAAUGCGUGGUGUAGCGGUGAAAUGCAUAGAUAUCACGCAGAACUCCGAUUGCGAAGGCAGCAUACCGGCGCCCGACUGACGCUGAGGCACGAAAGCGUGGGUAUCGAACAGGAUUAGAUACCCUGGUAGUCCACGCAGUAAACGAUGAAUGCUAGCUGUCCGGUUUUUCGGGGACUGGGGGGCACAGCGAAAGCGUUAAGCAUUCCACCUGGGGAGUACGCCGGCAACGGUGAAACUCAAAGGAAUUGACGGGGGCCCGCACAAGCGGAGGAACAUGUGGUUUAAUUCGAUGAUACGCGAGGAACCUUACCCGGGCUCAAACGCCAAAGGACAGCCGUUGAAAGGCGGCCUCCCUCCGGGGUCUUUGGCGAGGUGCUGCAUGGUUGUCGUCAGCUCGUGCCGUGAGGUGUCGGCUUAAGUGCCAUAACGAGCGCAACCCCCAUCGCCAGUUGCCAACAGGUAAAGCUGGGAACUCUGGCGAGACUGCCGGCGCAAGCUGUGAGGAAGGCGGGGAUGACGUCAAAUCAGCACGGCCCUUACGUCCGGGGCGACACACGUGUUACAAUGGCAGGUACAGAGAGAUGCGACACGGCGACGUGGAGCGGAACUGUCAAAACCUGUCUCAGUUCGGAUCGGAGUCUGCAACCCGACUCCGUGAAGCUGGAUUCGCUAGUAAUCGCGCAUCAGCCAUGGCGCGGUGAAUACGUUCCCGGGCCUUGUACUCACCGCCCGUCA
rnacentral:rRNA from 1 species